UUGCGGCCCCCGUAGCAGCGUGCGCAUGCGCGUCGGGUCCCGCCGCUGGCCUGUGUGGGCCCUGUGGCCGCGGGCGGGGGUGUGUGGGGAAUGGCGUCCACAUUGUGCUAGCUGCUCGCCGGCCCGCGGGGCGGAAGCUGUCAGGGAAGGACGCGGAGAGCCGCGGUCUCCCGCGCUCGGGUUCAGCAGUCGCUGCCUCCGACCUCCGGGAGUCGGGACCCAGAGGUGCGCACAGCCGUUGCUUGUUGGAUGAACAGACCCACGAACGCGGAUCCUCACGAGUGUCCUCGAAGCCGCGUGCCUUGGGCCCACGUCCAGGCCUGCGGACCCGGGCUCCAGUGCCGGGACUAGAAGUCUAGGUCUGCAGACUCAGGUCCAGUACUGAGGCCCCGUGCCCUAGACCCGCUUCCAGGCCCGACAGAAGAAGGCUGGGGCCCUUGUGCCAAUACUGGCAGGGAUUCCGUUCUAAACUGCCGUUCGCCGAGUAUCUCCGCUCGAAGGGAGUCCGGGAACAAGGGGCAGGCUUUGGGCGCUGGUGGUGUAACAGGGAAGAGCUAAAUCCGACUCCCUGUUCCGUCUGUUUCUUUGAUUUCAGCCUUUGUUUUUCGUCGCUUUUGUUGGUGUAAUCAUAUACAUAUAUUAUGGCCUGCCCCAGGGAACCCUGCCCCUCUGCCUGAAUGUUAAACUAAAGAGCCUCUCUUCGUUUCCCAGGGAGACAGUCUCACCCCGCCCACCUGUAGAUGGCUGCCGAAAAAAAAAAAAAAAAGACAUUAACACAUCCCCUCACUCAGGCUGGCAGUUCCAGGGAAUAUUUGCAAAACGUAUGGCCUUUUUACUUUGCUUCCUCGUCUCUAACCCCUUUCUGUUCUAUAAAAGAAGCUGGCGUCCAAACCCCGAUAAGAUGGUUUAUCGGAGACACUAGUCUGCCGUCUUCUCAGUCUGCCGGUAGUGACUUAUUUUCUCUCUUAUUCUCUACCUUGCUAAGGAGAGAUGAGAAACUAGGGCUUCCUGUACAGUGUGAAUUCCAGAGAAUCCAGGAGUUUUCCAUAAAUACACUCCUGCUUUCCAGUUUGGUGUGAUCGUGAUGAAAUGCCUACUGUUUUGUUUUAUUACAUCACCUACUCCGUUCCUUACCUAAAAUGUAACAAUUAAAAGGUGGAGCCCCAAAGGCUUUUAUUGCCCAUCCUUACUGCCUUCAGUAGAAUUUUAUCUAAUCUCAAUGAGAUAGAAAGCACAUGGUAAGACCCCUAGAAACACAGAUGAUACACUUGCUCUGAUAAAACAGUCCAAUGUUCAGCAUCUUUUAGGUGGAAAAUACUUAUAUUUGGCCUGUUUAUACUGAAGUGUGAGAUCCUAUUCUUUUGUCCUUAACUUAAAAAGAUCAGAAAAUAGAGCGGAAAAAAUGCUAUGAAAUAAUAAACCUGUGUGCUUCUGUAAUAAGAGUACAUCUAUACAUUCCCUAAAUUUUUUCCAUUUGAAGUAUAGUAUCUUUAGUUUUGCGUAUGCAAGAAGACGAAAUAAACUGAUACCUCUACUAAUGGGGAGAAAGCUUUCCAAGGAUAUGUGAGGUUGAGCCAUGGAAUUUGCCAGUGUCCAAUUGUGUUUAACCUAAAAAGGGCAAUUUCAUAAUUUUCAACCUGUACCUGGGUGUAAGAAAUUUUACUUAGAAAAGAAUAUUGAAGAUUUAAGAAUGUGAUUUGGGCCUUUUCACUUCUCAUGCCCUAUGAGCCAAGCUUCGUUUCCUAAAAAAUACCACAUAAAAUGUACUGACGUCAUAAGCCAAUGGAGAUAAUUGAAUAAGAGUCUAGGCUCCAUAGUCAGACUGCCUGGGUUAGAAUCCUGGCUCCCCCGUUUUGUAGCUGUGACGUUUGGGGCAAGUCAACCUAAACUCCUGUUUCACUUUCUGAUAUGCGAAAAUCAAGGUGAUAAUAGUGCCUACCUUGCAGGGUUGUUAUGAGGAUUAAAUAAUACAUCAAUCGACCCUCAUCAUUCAGGGGUUCUAUAUUACAAAUUCACCUACAUGCCAAAAUUUAUUUGUAACCCCGAGAUCAAUACUUGCAAGCACUUUCGCAGUCACUCAGGACAUGUGCAGAACAGUGAAAAGUCAGACACCCAACACUCACCAUCACGGCUGGGGUGGAACAAGGCCGUGAUGUGCCUUCCUGUUUCAACUCAUACUGCAAACAGGCGCCGUUUUUGCGGUCUGCUUACUGCUACAUUUUUUCACAUACUUGUGCCUUUUCUUGGUGAUCUCACUGUUUAAAAUAGCCCCCAAGCCUAAUGCUGAAGUGCUGUCUAGGGUCCUAAGCACAAGAAGGCUUAUGGAAAAAAAGUAUGUGUUAGAGAAGCUUCAUUCAGGCUGUUGUAUGCUGAUGUCUGUGAGUUCCACAUUAAUGAAUAAUACAUACUGAAUACGAAGUUUUUAAACAGAAUCACUUCAGACAAGGUUAUGGGUUGAUCAGUUGAGGAACGCGCAGUCAGAGGCUCGCAGGACCCUGACCCGUGUCUGCAGGAGUGGGGCCUCAGUCUUCAUAAACCAGUGUUUGCAGCGACUUUAUCAAACGUAACCUGCAGAUGACAAGGAUUGACUAUAGGUUUAAGGACGGGGCCUACCACAUGCCAAGUGCUGAACAAAUGCUGGGUUUUGUGAUUCUAACCAUUACUGUUGUUUCAUCGUGUCUAAUGUCUGCUCUGGGUCCCUGUCUCCCUUCCCAUCUGUGAAAGGAAAAUCUAAACGGAGUCAUUAUUGCUCAGAGAGCUCUGUGACCUGGAACCAGGAAGCCACGGAGGAACGUGACGUGCAUGCCUCAGCCUGGAUGGACUCUGACCUUUUGACCUGAUGAAGUUGUCCAGAGCACCUGCCAGAAACGCAAGAUACUUAUCGGACCCUUACCCUAAAAUAACUUGAGACAGUCUAUCUACUUAUUGGACCCCUGCCCUAGAACAACUGACGAUGCCUUAAGGACAAAUCUUCUCUCACUUGCGACUGUCAAUCACGGUUCUUGCCAGGCAACCUUUAACAGCCUCCUGGCUUGUUUUCUUUUUUCCUGGCUUUGUGUCUUCAGAAGCCCCUGAUCCUUUCUCUUCCUUGGAACACUCCUUUGGGGUUGCCCUGAAUCUGUCUCCCAGACUGCAAUUCUUAGGACCCCAAAUAGAUUCUUCCUAUUUGCACCCUGCAUUUUUUUUUUUGUCUGACACAUCCUAGUGAACAGUCUAAGGAGGCCCGAAGUUAGCUUGUACUUCGUGCCCAGAAUCCUAGAACAAAGGCCGGGAGCUUCCUACUUCUUCCUCUUCCUGCUUCUCAGCCACAGGGCUUUCCAGAGGCAAUGGCCUAUCCAAACAUGAGGCAGCCGGACAAGCAGGAUGCGGUCCCAAGUGGUGAGACGCAAAGCUUGAGAACAUCUUUCCUGGGCCCCCGAGAUGAGAGUCCUCGCUUCCUUCCAGGCCCGCCAGAGGGGGUCUCCGCACCUGCGAUGGUCCCUCCUCCCUCCUCCCUCCACCCACCCUCCCUCUGUCCCUUCACCAGCCCGCAGGGGAGCCCGAGUGAAGGAAGCAACAACAAGUUCCAGCAGAGCCCUCGGUCAGGGAAGCUGAGGUCCCCCCUGGGAGACGUGUGGUCCUUUCCGGAGGCAAGCCCAGGGCCAGCCCACCCCCCAGAGGCCACUCCAUCCCACGUCAAGACCUCUGCCCCCAAGGGGCCCCACGCACAAACCAGCACCCCUUCACCAGCUGACUGUGGUGAAAGAGGCUGGGUUCCCAGGGGGCCUUAGGAGAGGUAACACCUGGUGAGCCUCUGCGGGAACCCUUCCCCAUGGAAACAUUUUAAGCAUUUUGAAACAAAGACAAUACAAAACAUCUCAAGUUUCCUAUUCCCAUUUCUUAAGUUUCAUACAGUACUCUGUAGAAACAUGUAUCAGACACUCUCCAGUGACAAUUCAGUUAGGAAAUUACGCUUGAAUCUGAGCCCCUGAGCGGCUAGAAAGGCCUUAGAAAGAGUGCAGCAGCCAUGAGUUGGGAUAGAGCUGGUGACAGUUCAUCAUGGGCCCUUGUCUCUGUCUCAUAAGCUUGCCUUAAUCCCUUCUCUGGACAUGAUAGCAAAGCUGGGCACAAAAUGUAACACGAUAGCUCUUCUUCCUUGAGGACUGAGGCCCCAGAAUGCUUUGUGAGUGAACCAAGUCGGUUGCCCGUUAAGGCCGUGAGGCUGCCCCAGGCAGAGGGUGGGGACCAGCUGUCAUUGUGCAGGGGUGGGGAUGGAGAGACCUUCAUUCCUUUCUGCCUCCCGACCACACCCCUGGAAACAAAGCGAGCGCCCUGACAAGCCCUGCCAUAAGGGCGACACUCAGAGUGUCCCGCUGGAACAGGAAGCGGGCGCCGUCGCCACGCUCCCGGGUCAGCAGGGACCUGAGAUGAUCGCCAGACCGCUCCCGCACCCAGGGGAAGGCAGACGGGCGGGCAAACAGCAUGUGGUUUGGCAACGCCACUGUCCCAGGACACACACGGCACAGAAAGUGGCCGACGUCAGCUCCAGCCAGUCCCUCGUCUGGCCCCGCAGCCGGCCGUUCUCCACACGUGGCGUGGAGGUCAUUGUAAAUCUAUUCAUCUCACUCCUCUGCUGAAAAACCUCCAAGGACUCCACUCCAGCCCCAGAGAAAAGGGCACUAUCGUGAUAACAAAGGGCAGGGUAGAUUAGAGAAACGCACAGAACUGGUCCUAACCCAGCCCCGGCUCUUCUCUCCAGCCUCACACAUCACCACAACUUUCUUUCCACAGGGGCACACGUACGUGCAUGCCUGCAUGCACACCGUGUAAACACACGUGGAGACCCACCUGUUUAGCCAGGCCUCCGUGCUCAGCGUCUGCGGCAGCCACAGGCCUGUUCUCGUUGCUUGAAAUCUUGCCUCCCGUGUCCCCCAAGGCCCACCCCCAACUCCUCCAAACUUCCUUUCUUGGCCAAUGCCCACUUGACCUCUGGGUCUCCUACUUGGGGGAGCCCUCCCGGACCUUUUACGACGUGGCCAGGGGUCCGAGCCCAGAGCCCUCCUCAUGGUCUGUCCAUCCCUAAGCAGGGUCACCAGUCUCUCCCCAGCUUUGCCUGGCCGAGGUCGGUCAUCCCACUAGACUGCCUCGUGUCCAGCCCCCACCCCAUGAUGGAAGCUCAGACGAUGUUUAUAGAAUGAAUACAUGAGUAACAGUAACGAGAGCGUGUUUAAAGAAUCUGAGAUAUAAUUUGCCUCAAUACGACGUCUAAAGUUCAUUGUAGGGGUGAAAGUAAAUCUAGGUGUCAGUAAAUGAACAAUUAUGUGUUGAGCACGUUCUGUGUGUAGCUGUCCCUUCAGCGGGCUGGUGAGGUCUAGAAAGAUACAGCUGAGCGUUCAAACGGCCCAGAUAAGCCAGGCAUUUCUUCCGCCGUGGGUGCUCACAGGGCCUCACUCCACUACUGAGGAGGAGAAGGUCCGAACCUUUGCCAUGUGUGAGCUAAGUGGUGUGCAGUGUGCUUUGACCCUCAGGCUCCCUUCUCACACACUGAGCCGCGUGAACCACUGAGUGCUGAGUGAAGGGGUGUGUCCCCCAAAGAUCUGCUCUUUUGGAAAAUAUCCUGCUUCUUAAUUUUGCUCAAAUGUGUUAUUCCAAGGAAAGACACAAAGGUGAUUCUUUUUAUGAUUAUCUGUUGGGCAUUAUAUCUUUCCAGGGGAGAAGGUUUUUUUUGUUUUUCUUAAGAUUUUUUGAUGUAAACCAUUUUUAAAGUCUUUAUUGAAUUUGUUACAAUAUUACUUCUUCCUUUUUUUUUUAAUGUUUUGGCUUUUUUGGACCCAAGGCAUGUGGGAUCUUAGCUCCCCGACCAGAGAUUGAACCCGCACCUCCUGUAUUGAAAGGCAAAGUCUUAACCACCGGACCUCCAGGGAAUUCCCCAGGGGAAAAGUUUUUGCAACUCAAACCCCUUGACGAGAGAAAAUGCCACCCCCAAAUCCUGUUUCCUGAGAGAGAGCAGAGAGCCUGGUAGGUAAGAACAGAACUCUGCUCUUUCUCUGUCUUUCUGUCAACAGGUGCUGUUGUCAGCCAUAAAAUCCCUGCUGAGGUCACAGCUCUGCUGCAAAUGGAGCUUCCAGUCACCCUAUUAAUGUCCAUUUGAGGUCUUCAGGAAACUCCUUUACUAGUUCCUCAAAGCAAGGGACCCUCUCACGACUUUGAAUGAGUGAACCAGCUGUAAACGAGUUUUGGAUGUUGCUUGCUUAAAAGCAAAGGAUCAGAGUCUGGACUUGUGAUUGUGGUAUCCCUGCCCAUGACACUGUACACUCUUCCCAGUGAAGAGGGGGAACAGCUCCCCUCAGGCCUUAGGCAUUCUGGGCCUGCGGAGUCAGGAGCCCCAUCCCCUGUGGAUGACAUUACACUGGGCUAAUCGUAAAGGAUAUUUCCAGAUGCCCACGGCUCCACUGAUGUCUCAUCAGGAAUUGUGGACAUGAAGCCUAAGACGUUACGUUCCUUGUCUCAGGAUGGUUAGAGCUGCUGAUUGCAAACAGUGGAAUCUACUUGGACCAGUUUAAGCAGAAAAGGGAUUUACUAAAUGCUUUGAGGUCCACCACGGAAUCGUGCAGAAUAGAAAUGAGUUUUAAGACUAUGUUUCCAGGACCAACACCUGGACCGUGCGAUGCGACUGGACAAGUGAGAAAGUGGCCUCCACCUGCUUAAAGCCUGGGCAUCUGCUGCCGGAACUGACGCCCCUUCUCAGUGACGGAAGCUGCACGUGGACCCACAAAGUGGACGUUGUGUGGAGAGCCUGCUUCCUGGGAUGCUCGCUUCCAAAUGCAGGGUCACCUGGGAGGCUGUGUGGCACAGAGGGAGCCCUCCAAGCCUCCCGGCUGCCAGGGAGGCUUAAUUAGAAAGACUUUUAGAAGAAAAUGGAAUGUGGUUGGAUUUAAAUGAAGCAAAACUUGAAAGACUGGAUCCAUCCAUUAUAGACUGUUAUUAUCAUCUAUAUAAUAAUGCAGAUUAUUAUAUCUGUAGUGCUGGUUUAAAAAUACAGAGGAGGGACUUCGGCAGGCCCAGGGCAGGUGACUGGAGCCUGUUUGAACGUGUUUCACCCCGUGCUCUUGUUUCACUCUUGGCCAGUAGCAAAGAUAUUGCAGCGAAAGUCACUGCUGCACACAUUAGACUUCCAGCUGGCUCGCUUGGACCUUUACCCUGACUUUUGGCAAAAAUUGUGUCAAAAGUGGUGCUGCUCUUGCAAACUAAGCACAUGUGGUCUGGCUAAACUCUUGUGUUUUAUUUGUAUUUUAAAGGACAUAACUAUAGUCACUAUAAGGUUUGAGGUGGGUGAACUACUUAGAGGGUAUUUGAUUUGCUAGAAAAUAUAUUAAAAAAGCAAACCCUGCAUUCUGACUUCUGAGUGAAGAGAGGAUUUCAGACAAAAAUUUAAAAAAUAAAGAGAGCUUGUUUUUA